UUCGCGUUGGCGGCCUUCGGCCGCGCUUCAAAAAAAUAACCCUGGCCGAUCCAACACCGGGAUGUAUCAGGUUUUUUUUAAGUAAAACUCCUUUUCGCGUUGGCGGCCUUCGGCCGCGCUUCAAAAAAAUAACCCUGGCCGAUCCAACACCGGGGUGUAUCAAAAAUCUUGAUAUAUCAAGAAAAAGGGCAAUGAUUUAUGUAUUUGGGGUAUAG